UACGUAGGGUGCGAGCGUUGUCCGGAAUUAUUGGGCGUAAAGAGCUCGUAGGCGGCUUGUCGCGUCGACUGUGAAAUCCCGCGGCUCAACUGCGGGUCUGCAGUCGAUACGGGCAGGCUAGAGUUCGGUAGGGGAGACUGGAAUUCCUGGUGUAGCGGUGAAAUGCGCAGAUAUCAGGAGGAACACCGAUGGCGAAGGCAGGUCUCUGGGCAGUAACUGACGCUGAGGAGCGAAAGCGUGGGGAGCGAACAGG
rnacentral:rRNA from 1 species